rnacentral:rRNA from 1 species
UCGAGAAUUUUUCUCAAUGGGCGAAAGCCUGAAGGAGCGACGCCGCGUGGGGGAUGAAUGGCUUCGGCCCGUAAACCCCUGUCAUUUGCGAACAAACCUUACGAUUUAAUAGGUCGUGAGCUGAUUGUAGCGAAAGAGGAAGGGACGGCUAACUCUGUGCCAGCAGCCGCGGUAAUACAGAGGUCCCAAGCGUUGUUCGGAUUCACUGGGCGUAAAGGGUGCGUAGGUGGUCGGGUAAGUCUGAUGUGAAAUCUCCGAGCUUAACUCGGAAAUGGCAUUGGAUACUAUUCGGCUAGAGGGUUUGAGGGGGGACUGGAAUACUUGGUGUAGCAGUGAAAUGCGUAGAUAUCAAGUGGAACACCAGUGGCGAAGGCGAGUCCCUGGAAAACUCCUGACACUGAGGCACGAAAGCUAGGGGAGCAAACAGG